GACGAACGCUGGCGGCGUGGAUUAGGCAUGCAAGUCGAACGGUAUCAUCCUUUCGGGGGUGAGAGAGUGGCGAACUGGUGAGUAACACGUAGGUUAUCUACCCUCAAGACGGGGACAACCCAGGGAAACUUGGGCUAAUACCGGAUGUGAGCAACUUUUAGUUGUUUGAAAGGUGGCGUAAGCUGUCGCUUGGGGAUGAGCCUGCGUCCUAUUAGUUAGUUGGUGAGGUAACGGCUCACCUAGGCAAUGAUAGGUAGGCGGCCUUAACGGGUGGUCGCCCACACUGGGAUUGAGAUACGGCCCAGACUCCUACGGGAGGCAGCAGUCGAGAAUAGUCUACAAUGGUCGGAAGACUGAUAGUGCGACGCCGCGUGAACGAUGAAUCCCUUCGGGGUGUAAAGUUCUUUUAUAUGUGAGCAGUGCUUCUUAUAUUAACAGUAUGGGGAGAGAGAUAUUAGCAUAUGAAUAAAGCAACGGCUAACUCCGUGCCAGCAGCCGCGGUAAUCUCG
rnacentral:rRNA from 1 species